GCCGACUUAGCUCAAUUGGUAGAGCGAUGGUAUCGUAAACCAUAGGUCGUCGGUUCGAUUCCGACAGUCGGCU
rnacentral:tRNA from 2 species